rnacentral:rRNA from 1 species
GAUGAACGCUGGCGGCGUGCUUAACACAUGCAAGUCGAACGGUGAUGGAGAGCUUGCUCUUCGGAUCAGUGGCGAACGGGUGAGUAACACGUGAGCAACCUGCCCCGGACUCUGGGAUAAGCGCUGGAAACGGCGUCUAAUACUGGAUACGAGACACCUCCGCAGGGGGAGUGUUUGGAAAGAUUUUUCGGUCUGGGAUGGGCUCGCGGCCUAUCAGCUUGUUGGUGAGGUAAUGGCUCACCAAGGCGUCGACGGGUAGCCGGCCUGAGAGGGUGACCGGCCACACUGGGACUGAGACACGGCCCAGACUCCUACGGGAGGCAGCAGUGGGGAAUAUUGCACAAUGGGCGGAAGCCUGAUGCAGCAACGCCGCGUGAGGGAUGACGGCCUUCGGGUUGUAAACCUCUUUUAGCAAGGAAGAAGCGAGAGUGACGGUACUUGCAGAAAAAGCGCCGGCUAACUACGUGCCAGCCGCCGCAGUAAAAC